UUCCCGGUGGUGUAAUGGUAGCACCGCAGAUUCUGGCUCUGCUGGUGGGGGUUCAAGUCCUCCCCGGGAAG
rnacentral:tRNA from 1 species